rnacentral:lncRNA from 1 species
CCUCAAGGUUCUCAUCAUAUAUGCAUCAGUGUCUAUCUUCUCAAAAAGCUUACAUACUAUAAGUGCACCUGUAAUAAAAGAAGUAAGUCAAAGCCAUUAUAUGAAAGUUGUGAAAGUAAAGUAACAAAAUGCAACAUGUUUCAUCCAAGCACCAGUUUUGGUGUAAUAGCUCCCAAACUUCCAACAUAGUUUUCUUAACUAAUUCAAAAUCUUAUAUAUAAUGGCAAUAAAAACCAUAGUUCAUGUGCAGAAAAUGUAACAUAAUCAGAGCUAAUAUAGUGAAAGUAAACUCAACCCAUUGUUGUAAGCCCUACACCCAUUGGGUCAUGCUGAAGGGCAUCUGCAUGAUGCUACAGGGUUUGUAAUGUAACAAUCCUAGAUUCAGCAAGAUGGAAAACCAAUUCUGAUUGAACACACAUCACAUACAAAUAACUAUAUUUAAUCAAAUGACAAAAUAAUGUUUCUUAGUUUUCCCUCCUCAAUUUAGCUUCAGAACAUUUAAACUGGAGAUAAUAUGAAUAGAAAAUGCUCUACUGCAUUUAGUUAAGUAUUUAAAUGUACUUUAGUAAACAAAAAAGUCAACGUAAAUCUAACUUAAUCCAACAAACCAUGACAUUGAAACAAAAUUAAGAUCCUAUACACUUUUAGUCCCACCUGGCCUAACAUAUUCAUUCUCGUAUCAAACAUGAAAGUCCAUUGUUUGAGAAAAUUUCAACAAAAAAAAAAGAUCUCAUUGUCUUUAAUGUAUUUCCGAUCAAAAGUAGUAGUCUAAUAGAACUACCUUUCACGUAUAAAGGGCUCAAAUUCUCAAUUAGUUAGAACUACCAUUGAUUGAGAACAUGGUUUGUUGAGAAUAGUCACAGCCUUGAGCAAAAAGUGAAGUUAAAGAUUUAGAAUUUCAAAUUUAUGAAGCAGCUAAAAUCAUACAUGAAUAUAAGCAUUGAAAACCAUUUACCUCAUUAAUAUUAAUAUCUGCCGUAACCAUAUGAAAACUUAACCAUAUGAAAACUUCUUGUGACAGUCUUUGUCAACUCAAACAUUAGUAAAAGAAAGUGAAUAUAAAAUAACAAUAGUAAAAGAAAGAAAGUAAAUGACCUCACAACGAUCCUCACCAUUUGAUCAUAACCUUCUACUUCCAAUUCUUCAUUGAAACUUGAUAGGAACCGAUUACAUUAUGCACUCAUAGUUUGACUUAUGCUCCCUUCAUCCUCUUUAAUUAAUCUCCCCUUCAACUAUUUAUGAUAGCAAUAUUAAAAUUUCAUGACAGCAACCACUCAGCUAAUGUUAAUCUCCAUGGUAACAGUCAUGAAAGUAGCACUCUGAGACAAAAGUAACGUGCAGACAACAUGUACAAAACCAGUAGAAAGAAUGUAAAAAGUUAUAAUGCUUGAUCUAACUAAUGAUAAGCAUGAGAUGAACCAAAUCUGAGUACAACUCCAAAUUAAGACAUCAGAAACUGUUGAACCUCGCAAAAGUUUUAGAAACAAAAUGAGGUUUACAAAUUUACAAAGUAAAAGGAAACAUUAAAUUAGGGACAAUGAGUCUGAAAUUUUGCAAGUUUCAGUUCAAUACUUAUACAAUUGAAUCCAAAUUUCAAAAUACACAAACAUGAUAAUGACUAAUAAUUAAAGGAAUUGUAUCUUGGGAAAAAGAUAAAUGAAUAUGUUAGUCUUUGUAAUUCAAUGUGGUUUUCAUUUCACCUGGAAAAAAGAUAAUGAAUAGCUAGUCAUUGUAAACUUAUGGAGCUGAUUCAAAAUGAGACUAUGGCUUCAACACAUCUAAUCUAACCCCAAGCAUGGAGUUAAAGCAGACAAACCAUUCAAAUAUUAUAAACUAUCAUUCAAGCAGAUUCAAACAUAUGAUUGAAAUUAGAAAAUCAGUCAUAUAAUCAGUCAUUCAAAGUCCACAAUUCAUGCAAAGGGAAAAUAGUAACUAAAGAUUAUAUUCAUGAAUGUCGUAAUAUCUUGAAAAAUGCAAGUGCGAAUUCAUACUAUUCAAUUAAAA